UAGGGAAUCUUCGGCAAUGGACGAAAGUCUGACCGAGCAACGCCGCGUGAGUGAAGAAGGUUUUCGGAUCGUAAAACUCUGUUGUUAGAGAAGAACAAGGACGUUAGUAACUGAACGUCCCCUGACGGUAUCUAACCAGAAAGCCACGGCUAACUACGUGCCAGCAGCCGCGGUAAUACGUAGGUGGCAAGCGUUGUCCGGAUUUAUUGGGCGUAAAGCGAGCGCAGGCGGUUUCUUAAGUCUGAUGUGAAAGCCCCCGGCUCAACCGGGGAGGGUCAUUGGAAACUGGGAGACUUGAGUGCAGAAGAGGAGUGUGGAAUUCCAUGUGUAGCGGUGAAAUGCGUAGAUAUAUGGAGGGACACCAGUGGCGAGGGCGGCUCUCUGGUCUGUAACUGACGCUGAGGCUCGAAAGCGUGGGGAGCAAACAGG
rnacentral:rRNA from 1 species